AGAGCGAACGCUGGCGGCAGGCCUAACACAUGCAAGUCGAGCGCCCCGCCAAGGGGAGCGGCAGACGGGAGAGUAACACGUGGGAACGUACCCUUUGGUUCGGAACAACACAGGGAAACUUGUGCUAAUACCGGAUAAGCCCUUACGGGGAAAGAUUUAUUGCCAAAGGAUCGGCCCGCGUCUGAUUAGCUUGUUGGUGAGGUAACGGCUCACCAAGGCUACGAUCAGUAGCUGGUCUGAGAGGAUGAUCAGCCUCACUGGGACUGAGACACGGCCCAGACUCCUACGGGAGGCAGCAGUGGGGAAUAUUGGACAAUGGGCGCAAGCCUGAUCCAGCCAUGCCGCGUGGAUGAUGAAGGCCCUAGGGUUGUAAAGUCCUUUCGACGGGGAAGAUAAUGACGGUACCCGUAGAAGAAGCCCCGGCUAACUUCGUGCCAGCAGCCGC
rnacentral:rRNA from 1 species